rnacentral:rRNA from 1 species
UACAGAGGGUGCGAGCGUUGUUCGGAAUUACUGGGCGUAAAGGGCGCGUAGGCGGUUUGCUAAGUUGAAUGUGAAAACUCUGGGCUUAACCCAGAGCCUGCAUUCAAUACUGGCAGGCUAGAGUUCUGGAGGGGAUAGCGGAAUUCCUGGUGUAGCGGUGAAAUGCGUAGAUAUCAGGAGGAACACCGGUGGCGAAGGCGGCUAUCUGGACAGAGUCUGACGCUGAGGCGCGAAAGCUAGGGGAGCAAACAGG